rnacentral:rRNA from 1 species
AGAAUCAACGCUGGCGGCGUGCCUAACACAUGCAAGUCGCACGAGAAAGGGACUUCGGUCCCAAGUAAAGUGGCGCACGGGUGAGUAACACGUGAAUCAUCUACCUCCGAGUGGGGAAUAACCUAGAGAAAUCUGGGCUAAUACCGCAUAACACUUACGAGUCAAAGCAGCAAUGCGCUUGGAGAGGAGUUCGCGGCCGAUUAGCUAGUUGGCGGGUAAUGGCCCACCAAGGCGAUGAUCGGUA